rnacentral:lncRNA from 1 species
UUUUGGUUAUCAAAAGGAAAGUCCAGAGUAAGUUUUUGCCUAAAACUAACACCACAAAAAAGUGGGCUUUAUGUGCAUUCUUAUGGAUUUAGUAAAUAGGCGCUUACAACAAUUGUCUCUUUCCGUCUUUUUGAGCCGAAGGUCUAUCGGAAACAACCUCUCUACUCCCUCGGGUAGGGGUAAGGUCUGCGUACACACUACCCUUUCCAGACUCCACUUAUGGGAUAUUAAUGGGUUGUUGUUGCGCUUACAACAAUUAUAUUGAAAAGUUUGAAGGAAAUUGUUCCUGUGCUUUGUUAUUAUGAAUAAUGUCUUUUUGUGUUUUUGUUUUUUCUUUCUACAUAAAGCAUGAAAUAUUCUUUCUAAAAUGCUCUUCAGUUCUUUUCUUAACAAGAUUGUUGUUUUUUUCCCUUGAAAUGUUUGAUUAUCCUUUUGGUUUUUUGUGAUAGACGUUGCUCGCGUGGAUAUUAUCUUGUUCAAACGUGCUAGCUCAAUUCAAUAGGUGGUUGUGAUAUUUGCAGGGCGUUGGUCCAUGGAGCAGUGAUCUCUGCUUUCCUAACGAUUGCCAAUGGUAUGGUGGACCAAGGAUGUGUAUAAAUUACAGCUUUUUCUUGAUGUAGCUAAAUAUCAUAUUUAAUUACUACUUUUUAUUUGACAUCAAUAACGAAGAAAGAGUGCUGUGGGAUUCAUUGCAUCGUCGGGCUUCUUUCAGGAUCUUAUACAGUGCUUGAUAUUGUAGAUGGUGGGAGGAAUAUAUGUUUGUCAUGGUAAUGUACAUGUAUUGUGUAGGUGAGUUAAUGUCAAA